rnacentral:rRNA from 1 species
ACCUACGGGGGGCUGCAGUGAGGGAUCUUCGGCAAUGGGGGAAACCCUGACCGAGCAACGCCGCGUGCGGGACGACGGCCUUCGGGUUGUAAACCGCUUUUCUGUGGGACGAGAAUGGACGGUACCACAGGAAGAAGUCUCGGCUAACUACGUGCCAGCAGCCGCGGUAAUACGUAGGAGACGAGCGUUGUCCGGAGUUACUGGGCGUAAAGGGUGCGCAGGCGGCCGCACGCGUCGCGAGUGAAAUCUCCCGGCUCAACUGGGAGGGUGGUCGCGAGACGGUGUGGCUUGAGGCUCGGAGAGGGGCGUGGAAUUCCGGGUGGAGCGGUGAAAUGCGUAGAGAUCCGGAGGAACACCGACGGCGAAGGCAGCGCCCUGGACGAGACCUGACGCUCAGGCACGAAAGCUCGGGGAGCGAACAGGAUUAGAUA